rnacentral:lncRNA from 1 species
AAUAUAAAAAUUUAAAUAAAACAAAUAUCAAAAAGUUAUUUUAAGCAAAUAUAAUAUAAUAUAAAAUAGUAAAAAAACUUAUUAUAAGAAUUAAAGUUGAAAAGUUAUAAAUAAAAUAUAUAAAACUUAUUAUAAGAUAUGAAACUUAAUAUAAAAAAAAUAUAUAUAAUAUAUAAAACUUAUUAUAAUCAAAUUUAUAAAAU